rnacentral:rRNA from 1 species
CCUACGGGAGACAGCAGUAGGGAAUAUUGCUCAAUGGGGGAAACCCUGAAGCAGCAACGCCGCGUGGAGGAUGAAGGUUUUCGGAUUGUAAACUCCUUUUGUUAGAGAAGAGAAUGACGGUAUCUAACGAAUAAGCACCGGCUAACUCCGUGCCAGCAGCCGCGGUAAUACGGAGGGUGUAAGCGUUACUCGGAAUCACUGGGCGUAAAGAGGGCGUAGGCGGGAUAGCAAGUCAGAUGUGAAAUCCUAUGGCUUAACCAUAGAACUGCAUUUGAAACUGUUAUUCUAGAGUAUGGGAGAGGUAGGUGGAAUUCUUGGUGUAGGGGUAAAAUCCGUAGAGAUCAAGAGGAAUACUCAUUGCGAAGGCGACCUGAUAGAACAUAACUGACGCUGAUGCGCGAAAGCGUGGGGAGCAAACAGGAUUAGAUACCCGUGUAGUC